rnacentral:rRNA from 1 species
GGACUACACGGGUAUCUAAUCCUGUUUGCUCCCCACGCUCUCGCGCCUCAGCGUCAGUAUCUGUCCAGGUAGCCGCCUUCGCCACUGGUGUUCCUUCCGAUCUCUACGCAUUUCACCGCUACACCGGAAAUUCCACUACCCUCUACAGUACUCUAGUUAAACAGUUUAAGAUGCAGUUCCUAGGUUAAGCCCAGGGAUUUCACAUCUCACACAUUCAACCGCCUACGCGCCCUUUACGCCCAGUAACUCCGAUUAACGCUUGCACCCUCUGUAUUACCGCGGCUGCUGGCAC